AACGAACGCUGGCGGCAGGCUUAACACAUGCCAGUCGAGCGCAUCCUUCGGGGUGAGCGGCGGACGGGUGAGUAACGCGUGGGAACGUGCCCUCUUCUACGGAAUAGCCUCGGGAAACUGAGAGUAAUGCCGUAUACGCCCGCAAGGGGAAAGAUUGAUCGGAGGAGGAUCGGCCCGCGUUGGAUUCGGUAGUUGGUGGGGUAACGGCCUACCAAGCCGACGAUCCAAAGCUGGUAUGAGAGGAUGAUCAGACACACUGGGACUGAGACACGGCCCAGACUCCUACGGGAGGCAGCAGUGGGGAAUCUUGGACAAUGGGGGCAACCCUGAUCCAGCCAUGCCGCGUGAGCGAUGAAGGCCUUAGGGUUGUAAAGAUCUUUCAGCUGGGAAGAUAAUGACGGUACCAGCAGAAGAAGCCCCGGCUAACUCCGUG
rnacentral:rRNA from 1 species